UAAGUGAAAGCCAAACAGGCAACUAUCUGUUAACUAGUUCAAUGCUAAUCUUAGCUCACUUAG
rnacentral:tRNA from 1 species